rnacentral:rRNA from 1 species
GAAACGGGUGGUAAUACCGCAUAAGACCACAGUGUCGCAUGGCACAGAGGUCAAAGGAGCAAUCCGCUGGAAGAUGGGCUCGCGUCCGAUUAGAUAGUUGGUGAGGUAACGGCCCACCAAGUCGACGAUCGGUAGCCGGACUGAGAGGUUGAACGGCCACAUUGGGACUGAGACACGGCCCAGACUCCUACGGGAGGCAGCAGUGGGGGAUAUUGCACAAUGGGCGAAAGCCUGAUGCAGCGACGCCGCGUGAGGGAAGACGGCCUUCGGGUUGUAAACCUCUGUCAUUCGGGACGAAUAUAUGACGGUACCGAAGAAGGAAGCUCCGGCUAACUACGUGCCAGCAGCCGCGGUAAUACGUAGGGAGCGAGCGUUGUCCGGAAUUACUGGGUGUAAAGGGAGCGUAGGCGGGAAAGCAAGUUGGAAGUGAAAUGCAUGGGCUUAACCCAUGAGAUGCUUUCAAAACUGUUCUUCUUGAGUGAAGUAGAGGCAGGCGGAAUUCCUAGUGUAGCGGUGAAAUGCGUAGAUAUUAGGAGGAACACCAGUGGCGAAGGCGGCCUGCUGGGCUUUAACUGACGCUGAGGCUCGAAAGCGUGGGUAGCAAACAGGAUUAGAUACCCUGGUAGUCCAC